rnacentral:lncRNA from 1 species
UUAAGAAAUCUUAAAGAAAUAUUAUAAUCAUCACAAAUAUAUCUUAAAUAAAUUUUAAUUAAGUCUUAAUUUAAUCUUAAUUGAAACUCUAAUAGACUUCAAUAAAAUCCUAGGCCAAAUCCUAAAUCUCAAGAAAAUUCUAAAUCCUAAAUAAAAUCCUAAAUAAAUCCUAAAUUCUAAAUCCUAAAUCGAAUCCUAGACAAAUUAUAAAUCCUAAAUCAAAUCUUAAAUAAAUCCUAAAUCCUAAAUUAUAUCCUAAACAAAUCUUAAAUCUUAAAUUAAAUCGUAGAUAAAUCCUAAAUCCUAAAUCAAAUCGUAAAUAAAUCCUAAAUCCUAAAUCAAAUCCUAAACAAAUCCUAAAUCCUAAACCAAAUCCUAAACAAAUCUUAAACCUUAAACCAAAUUCUAAAAAAAUUCUAAAUCCUAAAUCAAAUCCUAAGGUAGAUUAGAAUCCUAAUAUCUAUUGAUUAAACCAUUGAUCUUGCUUAAACAUUUAUAUACCUCUCAAUUUAUUAGUUAAAAAAUAAUACAAAAUUUUUGAAGAUAAUCACAUUUAUCAAAUGGAAGAAAAUCCUAAAAACUGCUUGGAUAUUGGCUAGUCUUCUA